UUUCUACUCCCUCCGUCCGAAAACACUUAUCAUCAAAAUGGAUAAAAAGAGAUGUAUCUAAAACUAAAAUACGUCUAGAUACAUUUCCUUUUAUCCAUUUUGAUGACAAGUAUUUCCGGACGGAGGGAGUAUUUG
rfam:Triticum aestivum genome assembly, contig: Triticum_aestivum_CS42_TGACv1_scaffold_473415_6AL